UACGUAGGGGGCUAGCGUUGUCCGGAUUUAUUGGGCGUAAAGAGCGUGUAGGCGGCCAGGUAGGUCUGCUGUGAAACUCGAGGCUCAACCUCGAGACGCCGGUUGAAACCAUCUGGCUAGAGUCCGGAAGAGGAGAGUGGAAUUCCUGGUGUAGCGGUGAAAUGCGCAGAUAUCAGGAAGAACACCCGUGGCUAAGGCGGCUCUCUAGUACGGUACUGACGCUGAGACGCGAAAGCGUGGGGAGCGAACAGG
rnacentral:rRNA from 1 species